rnacentral:RNase_P_RNA from 1 species
GGGCUGAUUCUGGAUUCGACGGGAUUAGCGAAGUCCAAGGUGCACGUCGAGGUGCGGUAGGCCUUUGUAAGCCGGGUUCUGUCGUGGACAAUCAUUCCUCUAGGCUUGCAUUUACACACAAGCUCAAGCAACCUACCCGAACUCUCGGCGGGCCACCGAUUGAGUUCCUAUUUGGUCUUGCUACGAGUGGAGUUUACCUAGCUGCCAAAUGUUACCACUGGCACGGUGCGCUCUUACCGCCCCCUUUCACCCUUACCAGCCAAAGCUGGCGGUCUGCUCUCUGUUGCACUAGUCGUAGGCUCGCGCCCCCCGGACGUUAUCCGGCACUCUGCCCUAUGUAGCCCGGACUUUCCUCCCA